rnacentral:rRNA from 1 species
UACAGAGGGUGCAAGCGUUAAUCGGAAUGACUGGGCGUAAAGGGCGCGUAGGCGGGUUUGUAAGUUAGUUGUAAAAUCCCUGGGCUUAACCUAGGAAGGCCAACUAAUACUGCGAGCCUAGAGUAUAGGAGAGGGGAGCGGAAUUUCCGGUGUAGCGGUGAAAUGCGUAGAUAUCGGAAGGAACACCUGUGGCGAAGGCGGCUCUCUGGCCUACUACUGACGCUGAGGCGCGAAAGCGUGGGGAGCAAACAGG